rnacentral:rRNA from 1 species
CAGCCGCCGCGGGAAUACGAAGGGGGCUAGCGUUGCUCGGAAUGACUGGGCGUAGAGGGCGCGUAGGCGGCGAUCAAAGUCAGGCGUGAAAUUCCUGGGCUCAACCUGGGGGCUGCGCUUGAUACUUGGUUGCUUGAGUGGGGAAGAGGGUCGUGGAAUUCCCAGUGUAGAGGUGAAAUUCGUAGAUAUUGGGAGGAACACCGGUGGCGAAGGCGGCGACCUGGUCCUUGACUGACGCUGAGGCGCGAAAGCGUGGGGAGCAAACAGGAUUAGAUACCCCCAGUAGUCCCUGUCUCUUAUA